rnacentral:rRNA from 1 species
GGUUAAGCGACUAAGCGUACACGGUGGAUGCCCUGGCAGUCAGAGGCGAUGAAGGACGUGCUAAUCUGCGAAAAGCGUCGGUAAGGUGAUAUGAACCGUUAUARCCGGCGAUGUCCGAAUGGGGAAACCCAGUGCAAUUCGUUGCACUAUCGUUUGAUGAAUACAUAGUCAAACGAGGCGAACCGGGGGAACUGAAACAUCUAAGUACCCCGAGGAAAAGAAAUCAACCGAGAUUCCCCCAGUAGCGGCGAG